rnacentral:rRNA from 1 species
UACGUAGGUGACCAGCGUUGUCCGGAUUUACUGGGCGUAAAGAGCGCGCAGGCGGUCGUUCAAGUCGAGUGUGAAAGCCCCCGGCUCAACUGGGGAGGGUCACUCGAUACUGAUCGACUUGAAGGCAGGAGAGGGAAGCGGAAUUCCCGGUGUAGUGGCGAAAUGCGUAGAUAUCGGGAGGAACACCAGUGGCGAAGGCGGCUUCCUGGCCUGUUCUUGACGCUGAGGCGCGAAAGCUAGGGGAGCAAACGGG